rnacentral:rRNA from 1 species
GUAAGGGCACCACAAGAACGCGUGGAGCAUGUGGCUUAAUUUGACUCAACGCGGGAAAUCUUACCGGGUCCGGACACACUGAGGAUUGACAGGCAAUAUUAAUACGUUUUGCUUCGGUAACAUCGUAUUAUGUUAAAUAUGCUAGUCCUUUCAUGAUUAUGUGAUAGGUGGUGCAUGGCCGUUCUUAGUUCGUGGAGUGAUCUGUCUGCUUAAUUGCGUUUCACUAAGGGCCUAUAAAUUUACGUGUGUUGCAUCGCACUUUGACCCCUUUCUUUAAUUAGAGAGCGCGUGUCUUAGUUUUCGCUUUGCUCAUACAAUUAGGUCCUGAAAGCAACGAACGUGACCGCAACCUCUUGUUGCCUUUAUACCAAACAUGUUUUGCGUCAAUUUUCGAAUUGCGCGCAUUUCAUGAAAAAAGGCUUUUUAAACUAGAGGGACCGCUGUUACUUUCUUAAACCAGAGGAAGGUUGCGGCAAUAACAGGUCUGUGAUGCCCUUAGAUGUCCGGGCUGCACACGUGCUACAAUGAUUAUUGCAGUGAGCAUCUCAUUUUUACACACCGCAUGCGCGAGCCAUUUAUUCACCUUCGGGUGUUUUAAAUGUGUAUCUCUGCGCGCGGUAAAGCCUGCUUCGACAGUAAGUGGGUAAUCAAUUAGAAGUAAUGAUUUCCUUUUUUUUAGCACACAUAUAUACGGCGUCUAUGCCCGGGUUACCUUGUUGUAGCUUUUGUGCGUAUAGAUGUUUUUUCCGUAUGUGCGAUUGUCAAUUCAUGGUGGGGACAGACCAUUGUUAAUUGUUGGUCUCGGUCUUAACUAGGAAUGCCUUGUACGGGUCUUUGGUUCAACAAACCACCCGGAAUACGUCCCUGCCCUUUGUACACACCGCCCGUCGCUCUUACCGAUGGACUUCUCUGUGAUUUGAGGGACUGGGAACGCAGGAAUUUAUUUCUGCACACCUAUGGAAACUUAAACGAACAGUGUGGUCUAAAGGAAAGAGAAGUCGUAACAAGGCAUAGAAAG